AGUGAAUAGAUACCCCAGGUAGUCCACGCUGUAAACGAUGAGUGCUGGACGUUGGCGGGUUUACCUGCCGGUGUCGCAGCUAACGCGUUAAGCACUCCGCCUGGGGAGUACGGCCGCAAGGUUAAAACUCAAAGGAAUUGACGGGGGCCCGCACAAGCGGUGGAGCAUGUGGUUAAAUUCGACGCAACGCGCAGAACCGUUACCAGCCCUUGACAUGGGCGGACGGGGUCCAGAGAUGGACUCUUUCUCGCAAGAGACCGCUACACAGGUGCUGCAUGGCUGUCGUCAGCUCGUGUCGUGAGACUGUU
rnacentral:rRNA from 1 species